AUUGAACGCUGGCGGCAGGCCUAACACAUGCAAGUCGAGCGGCAGCGGGAAAGUAGCUUGCUACUUUUGCCGGCGAGCGGCGGACGGGUGAGUAAUGCCUGGGAAAUUGCCCAGUCGAGGGGGAUAACAGUUGGAAACGACUGCUAAUACCGCAUACGCCCUACGGGGGAAAGCAGGGGACCUUCGGGCCUUGCGCGAUUGGAUAUGCCCAGGUGGGAUUAGCUAGUUGGUGAGGUAAUGGCUCACCAAGGCGACGAUCCCUAGCUGGUCUGAGAGGAUGACCAGCCACACUGGAACUGAGACACGGUCCAGACUCCUACGGGAGGCAGCAGUGGGGAAUAUUGCACAAUGGGGGAAACCCUGAUGCAGCCAUGCCGCGUGUGUGAAGAAGGCCUUCGGGUUGUAAAGCACUUUCAGCGAGGAGGAAAGGUUGAUGCCUAAUACGUAUCAACUGUGACGUUACUCGCAGAAGAAGCACCGGCUAACUCCGUGCCAGCAGCCGCGGUAAAAC
rnacentral:rRNA from 1 species